rnacentral:rRNA from 1 species
CCUACGGGAGGCAGCAGUAGGGAAUCUUCCGCAAUGGACGAAAGUCUGACGGAGCAACGCCGCGUGAACGAUGAAGGCCUUCGGGUCGUAAAGUUCUGUUGUUAGGGAAGAACAAGUGCUAGUUAAAUAAGCUGGCACCUUGACGGUACCUAACCAGAAAGCCACGGCUAACUACGUGCCAGCAGCCGCGGUAAUACGUAGGUGGCAAGCGUUGUCCGGAAUUAUUGGGCGUAAAGCGCGCGCAGGCGGUUUCUUAAGUCUGAUGUGAAAGCCCCCGGCUCAACCGGGGAGGGUCAUUGGAAACUGGGAAACUUGAGUGCAGAAGAGGAAAGUGGAAUUCCAAGUGUAGCGGUGAAAUGCGUAGAGAUUUGGAGGAACACCAGUGGCGAAGGCGACUUUCUGGUCUGUAACUGACGCUGAGGCGCGAAAGCGUGGGGAGCAAACAGGAUUAGAUACCCUGGUAGUCCACGCUGUAAACGAUGAGUGCUAAGUGUUAGAGGGUUUCCGCCUUUAGUGCUGAAGUUAACGCAUUAAGCACUCCGCCUGGGGAGUACGGUCGCAAGACUGAAACUCAAAUGAAUUGACGG